rnacentral:rRNA from 1 species
ACGAACGCUGGCGGCGUGCUUAACACAUGCCAGUUGAACGGAAAGGCCCUGCUUUUGUGGGGUGCUCGAGUGGCGAACGGGUGAGUAACACGUGAGUAACCUGCCCUUGACUUUGGGAUAACUUCAGGAAACUGGGGCUAAUACCGGAUAGGAGCUCCUGCUGCAUGGUGGGGGUUGGAAAGUUUCGGCGGUUGGGGAUGGACUCGCGGCUUAUCAGCUUGUUGGUGGGGUAGUGGCUUACCAAGGCUUUGACGGGUAGCCGGCCUGAGAGGGUGACCGGCCACAUUGGGACUGAGAUACGGCCCAGACUCCUACGGGAGGCAGCAGUGGGGAAUAUUGCACAAUGGGCGGAAGCCUGAUGCAGCAACGCCGCGUGCGGGAUGACGGCCUUCGGGUUGUAAACCGCUUUCGCCUGUGACGAAGCGUGAGUGACGGUAAUGGGUAAAGAAGCACCGGCUAACUACGUG